rnacentral:rRNA from 1 species
GAGAGUUUGAUCAUGGCUCAGAAUCAACGCUGGCGGCGCGCUUAACACAUGCAAGUCGAACGAGAAAGUGGAGCAAUCCAUGAGUAAAGUGGCGUACGGGUGAGUAACACGUGGGUAAUCUGCCUCUGGGUGGGGAAUAACUCUGGGAAACCGGAGCUAAUACCGCAUAAGACCGCAAGGUGAAAGGUGAAAAUCGCCGAGAGAGGAGCCCGCGGCCGAUUAGCUAGUUGGUGGGGUAAGAGCUCACCAAGGCUGAGAUCGGUAGCCGGCCUGGGAGGGCACACGGCCACACUGGCACUGAAACACGGGCCAGACUCCUACGGGAGGCAGCAGUGGGGAAUCUUGCACAAUGGGGGCAACCCUGAUGCAGCGACGCCGCGUGAGCGAUGAAGCCCUUCGGGGUGUAAAGCUCUUUCGGCAGGGACGAUAAUGACGGUACCUGAAGAAGAAGCUGCGGCUAACUACGUGCCAGCAGCCGCGGUAAUACGUAGGCAGCGAGCGUUGUUCGGAGUUACUGGGCGUAAAGCGUGCGUAGGCGGCAGUCCAAGUCUGGUGUGAAAUCUCCCGGCUCAACCGGGAGGGUGCGCCGGAAACUGGGCUGCUGGAGUGCGGGAGAGGUAAGCGGAAUUCCCGGUGUGGCGGUGAAAUGCGUAGAUAUCGGGAGGAACACCUGCGGUGUAGACGGCUUACUGGACCGCCACUGACGCUGAGGCACGAAAGCGUGGGUAGCAAACAGGAUUAGAUACCCUGGUAGUCCACGCCCUAAACGAUGCAUACUUGGUGUGGGCAGUUCAGUCUGUCCGUGCCGAAGCUAACGCGAUAAGUAUGCCGC